rnacentral:rRNA from 1 species
AUUGAACGCUGGCGGCAUGCCUUACACAUGCAAGUCGAACGGCAGCACGGGUGCUUGCACCUGGUGGCGAGUGGCGAACGGGUGAGUAAUACAUCGGAACGUACAUUAUCGUGGGGGAUAACGCAGAGAAAGCUGUGCUAAUACCGCAUACGCCCUGAGGGGGAAAGCGGGGGAUCGCAAGACCUCGCGCGAUUAGAGCGGCCGAUGCCUGAUUAGCUUGUUGGUGGGGUAAAAGCCCACAAAGGCGACGAUCAGUAGCGGGUCUGAGCGGACUAUCAGCCACACUGGGACUGAGACACGGCCCAGACUCCUACGGGAGGCAGCAGUGGGGAAUUUUGGACAAUGGGGGCAACCCUGAUCCAGCAAUGCCGCGUGAGUGAAGAGGGCCUUCGGGUUGUAAAGCUCUUUUGUCAGAGAAGAAGCACCGGCUCUAACACAGUCUGGGAAUGACGGUACCUGAAGAAUAAGCACCGGCUAACUACGUGCCAGCCGCCGCCGUAA